rnacentral:lncRNA from 1 species
AUUAAUAUCAAUCCAAUGACAUUCCAUAGGAAUAAAAAUCCAAUGGGAUCCAGUUCUUAGCAGUCCCAGCCUAGUCAGAAGUACAAAGUCAAAUACCAUUUGCACAUCACCAAGAGGUACAAUCUGAUGAGUAACAGGAUAUCUGAUCUAAAAGCUUGCCAGGUUUCACAAGCAGUUUGAGUAUCACCAGGGCAGAUCAAGAAGAAAUAUGAAGGCCAGGUUCAUAACAAGCAGUUUCUUCAUUGCAAUUACAGAUUUAAAAACUUGAAUGA